rnacentral:tRNA from 1 species
GGAGCUAUGGCUCAGUGGUUUAGAGCACUGGCUGUCCUUUCAGAGGACCUGGGUUCAAUCCCCUGCACCUACA